rnacentral:lncRNA from 1 species
UUACAUCGACAAAAACCCAUGAUCGACCAAUGCUAAGGUUCUGAGACUAUGAGAAUGUCGGGGGAACCCCAAACAAAAUCUUUGCCUUAGUGAUAAUAUCUAGGAUACAAAAUUUUGAUGUCUCCCGAAUUCUAACAGACGGUGGUAGCUCGUGUGAUAUCAUGUACUCUAAGUUGUUCGAGAAUAUGGGCCUCUAGAGAGAAAUUUUAUGGGCGUACGAAGCCUUAGAUUUGUCUGUGUUCAAU